ACAAUUUUUGGUCACUGCAUUUUUCUCACUAUGAGGCACACCAUAUUAUAAGGCUCACUAUAAAUGAAUGUCUAUUUAAAGGGUAACGUUAAUGGAUUAUUUUAGCGCCGCUGGGUGGUGGUGGGGGGUAGGUUAAGUAAAGCUAAGCUAAGUAAAGCUACGCUAAGUAAACAAAACUGUUAUAAAAAAAGACUUUCUUUUAAAGUCAAACGAGAGCUGGAUGUUAAUCUACAGAUUUCUCUUCUGAAAAAAACUGUUUAUUUGGAUUAAGCAAGCGGGGAUAAAGCCCUGAGCCCGUUAUCCCUCAGACUGGACUCUGCCAAAGGGACAGACCGCUGUGGUCGACUGCCAUGACUUCUCUACAACCUUUCACUACUCGACUGCAAAACAGGGGAGGAUCUUGCUGACCUGAGAUAUCGUAGCGGGCAGGACCCAUCCAGCGCUUCCUCUCGCUGUCAGUCAACAUGUCAC